rnacentral:rRNA from 1 species
AUUGAACGCUGGCGGCAGGCCUAACACAUGCAAGUCGAACGAGUGGCGGACGGGUGAGAAAUGUCUGGGAAACUGCCCGAUGGAGGGGGAUAACUACUGGAAACGGUAGCUAAUACCGCAUACCAUCGGAUGUGCCCGGAUGGGAUUAGCUAGUAGGUGGGGUAACGGCUCACCUGGGCGACGAUCCCUAGCUGGUCUGAGAUGAUGACCAGCAACACGGGAACGGAGACACGGUCCAGACUCCUACGGGGGGCAGCAGUGGGAAAUAUUGCACAAGGGGCGCAAGCCUGAUGCAGCCAUGCCGCGUGUAUGAAGAAGGCCUUCGGGUUGUAAAGUCCUUUCAGCGAGGAGGCGUUACUCGCAGAAGAAGCAACGGCUAACUCCGUGCCAGCAGCCGCGGUAAUAC